rnacentral:rRNA from 1 species
CCUACGGGAGGCAGCAGUGGGGAAUAUUGCACAAUGGGGGAAACCCUGAUGCAGCGACGCCGCGUGAGUGAAGAAGUAUCUCGGUACGUAAAGCUCUAUCAGCAGGGAAGAAAAUGACGGUACCUGACUAAGAAGCCCCGGCUAACUACGUGCCAGCAGCCGCGGUAAUACGUAGGGGGCAAGCGUUAGCCGGAUUUACUGGGUGUAAAGGUGACGUAGACGGCAGCACAAGUCUGGAGUGAAAUCCCGGGGCUUAACCCCGGAACUGCUUUGGAAACUGUGCGGCUGGAGUGCAGGAGGGGUAAGCGGAAUUCCUAGUGUAGCGGUGAAAUGCGUAGAGAUUAGGAGGAAUACCGGUGGCGAAGGCGGCUUACUGGACUGUAACUGACGUUGAGGCUCGAAAGCGUGGGGAGCAAACAGGAUUAGAUACCCUUGUAGUC